UGGGGAAUAUUGGACAAUGGGCGAAAGCCUGAUCCAGCCAUGCCGUGUGUGUGAAGAAGGUCUUCGGAUUGUAAAGCACUUUAAGUUGGGAGGAAGGGCAGUAAGCGAAUACCUUGCUGUUUUGACGUUACCGACAGAAUAAGCACCGGCUAACUCUGUGCCAGCAGCCGCGGUAAUACAGAGGGUGCAAGCGUUAAUCGGAAUGACUGGGCGUAAAGCGCGCGUAGGUGGUUCGUUAAGUUGAAUGUGAAAGCCCCGGGCUCAACCUGGGAACUGCAUCCAAAACUGGCGAGCUAGAGUAGGGCAGAGGGUGGUGGAAUUUCCUGUGUAGCGGUGAAAUGCGUAGAUAUAGGAAGGAACACCAGUGGCAAAGGCGACCACCUGGGCUCAUACUGACACUGAGGUGCGAAAGCGUGGGGAGCAAACAGG
rnacentral:rRNA from 1 species